rnacentral:rRNA from 1 species
UACAGAGGUCCCAAGCGUUGUUCGGAUUCAUUGGGCGUAAAGGGUGCGUAGGUGGCGCGCUAAGUCGGGUGUGAAAUUUCGGAGCUUAACUCCGAAACUGCAUUCGAUACUGGUGUGCUUGAGGACUGGAGAGGAGACUGGAAUUCAUGGUGUAGCAGUGAAAUGCGUAGAGAUCAUGAGGAAGACCAGUGGCGAAGGCAGCUCUCUGGGACGGUACUGACACUGAGACGCGAAAGCGUGGGGAGCGAACAGG